AGCUGCAAUACCUUGAAAGAAAAAGGUGAAUUUCUUCGAUUCUAUGUUUUCCUACAAUUCUAGCUUGAAGAAAAUUUAUUCCUUGAAUUCUAGGGUUCUUCGAAAUUUGGGGAUUAUAUUCUAGAGUUGAAGUAUGACUUAAUAUUGAUAUAUAUUAUGUUUUUGAUGUUCCUAACAUGAUUAUGGUGGUUAAUUGUGUGAAUUCUUACUUGAAUUAAUUCUUGCUCAAGUUAGUAUGAACCCUAGGUUUGAGUUCGAAAAUUUUGAUUAUGUUCUUGAAUAAUUAAGUUCAUAUAUGUGUUAUUGAGCUGGAAUUAUGUCAUAUAUGAAUAAAUUAUGAGUUUACACCACAUAGUUUGGGAGAUUGAUGUUGUUAGUUUAGUGGAAAUUGGGGCUUUUGAGUUAAGAAGGUUUAUGUGCUAUUAUUUAAUGGAUGUGGGUAUAUUAUGAUGUGAUUCUAUUAAGUAUAGAAUUUGAACAGCUCUACCUCGUUCUCUUGUAAGGACUUAAUAUAUGGAAACUAGAGAAAUGAUGAAGUUGUUUGUUCUUAUGCUUAUUGUUGAGAUUAGUGGCUUUGAUAAUUGAGUUUAAAUUGAGAUCAUUGAGAUUUUAUUUCAAAGAAAUUGAGGUGAUUGAUAAAGUUAGUUUAUUAAACUAAAUAUGUAUCUAUUUAUUGAGAAUUGACAAAUAUCUAUGAGUUUAUUCUUUGUUUUCUUAUUGAGUUAAGAGGAGUAAGUGGUGUUAUUGUAUUGAUGAUAUGAUGUGAGGAAACGUUGGGAUACUAAGUGAAUAGCAAACAUGAGUUAUUGUUGUAAUAUUAUAUAUAUAUAUAUAUAUAUAUAUAUAUAUAUAUAUAUAUAUUUUCUUACUUAUUUUUCUUACAAAAAAAUCUUUAUCUAUUUAAAGGUUCCGGCUAGGAACGAGCCUGACACUAGAGUACGAAGUAAGAGAAACAUAUCAGGUGGGCUUACUAACUCAAGAAACAAUGAUGCAUACUUUAUUAUAUAAAGUUUAAGUGUAUGCAUUUAUUUUCAAAUUGUUGACUUGCCAAUGUUUAAGAUUUGUAUGAUACCAUCUACAUAGAAGAACGAAUUCGGGUCCUGAGCGAGUCAGGAUUUGUGUACACAGAGUGACGGUUAACCUUGAGUUAGCUUGUCGUUACGUUUGGGAAGGAGGCCUACUUCUCAACGUGUUUAUUGAGACUAGUAGAUAUGGUACAUACUUACAUGAGAACUUAGUCUGCGCAGACACUUUCAAAUACUAUGUAAAAACAGUUUAGCAAACACAGGUUGCUUCAGAAAAUCCCUUGUGUAUUGCUUAAAGUGGCAAGUUCAAUAUAUAGCAUUAUCAUGCAGAGUUUUAAAUGUUUUCGGCAUAUGUUCACUGAGUGCUUGUGGUACUCAGCCCUGCAUAUCUUUCUAAAUGUGCAGGUUAAGUUUGGAUGAAGAUGGAAGUGUGCUGAGCUGGAGCUUUUUGUUUAUGUAAAUAGUAAUAGGCUCAGGAUGUUGUGUCUUCAUACAUAAUGUCCAAUGAUGUACUCCGCUGCAACACUUUAUUUCUCU
rnacentral:lncRNA from 1 species